rnacentral:lncRNA from 1 species
CCCAUUAACUAUUUUCUCAAAAUGUAUCGCAUUUCAUUCAUAUUGGGUGUGUAUUCACUGAAAUGAACUGUACAAAACAAAUUGUAAUCGGUGUGCAUCCGUGUUCAUUCACGGGAAAUGAAAUAUACAAAACGAAGUGCGAUCGCCCCAUCGGGUGCAUUUUCAGUGUUCAUUCACCGCGGAAAUGAAAUGUACAAAACCAAGCUACCGUUGUUUGCAUCUAAGGAGAAACACGUUGGAAAAAAACACUAUUUA